rnacentral:rRNA from 1 species
UCCUACGGGAGGCAGCAGUGGGGAAUAUUGCACAAUGGGCGGAAGCCUGAGCAGCGACGCCGCGUGAGGGAUGACGGCCUUCGGGUUGUAAACCUCUUUCAGCGGGAACGAAGCGAGAGUGACGGUACCUGCAGAAGAAGCACCGGCCAACUACGUGCCAGCAGCCGCGGUAAGACAUAGGGUGCGAGCGUUGUCCGGAUUUGUUGGGCGUAAAGAGCUCGUAGGCGGCUUGUCGCGUCGACUGUGAAAUCCCGCGGCUCAACCGCGGGCUGGCAGCCGAUACGGGCAGGCUAGAGUUCGGUAGGAGAGACUGGAAUUCCUGGUGUAGCGGUGGAAUGCGCAGAUCCUACGGGAGGCAGCAGUGGGGAAUAUUGCACAAUGGGCGGAAGCCUGACGCAGCGACGCCGCUGAGGGAUGACGGCCUUCGGGUUGUAAACCUCUUUCAGCAGGGACGAAGCGAGAGUGACGGUACCUGCAGAAGAAGCACCGGCCAACUACGUGCCAGCAGCCGCGGUAAGACAUAGGGUGCGAGCGUUGUCCGGAUUUGUUGGGCGUAAAGAGCUCGUAGGCGGCUUGUCGCGUCGACUGUGAAAUCCCGCGGCUCAACCGCGGGCUAGCAGCCGAUACGGGCAGGCUAGAGUUCGGUAGGAGAGACUGGAAUUCCUGGUGUAGCGGUGGAAUGCGCAGA